AUCGGAUUACUGGGCGUAAGCGCAUGCAGGUGGUUUGUUAAGUCAGAUGUGAAAGCCCGGGGCUCAACCUCGGAAUUGCAUUUGAAACUGGCAGACUAGAGUACUGUAGAGGGGGGUAGAAUUUCAGGUGUAGCGGUGAAAUGCGUAGAGAUCUGAAGGAAUACCGGUGGCGAAGGCGGCCCCCUGGACAGAUACUGACACUCAGAUGCGAAAGCGUGGGGAGCAAACAGGAUUAGAUACCCUGGUAGUCCACGCCGUAAACGAUGUCUACUUGGAGGUUGUGGCCUUGAGCCGUGGCUUUCGGAGCUAACGCGUUAAGUAGACCGCCUGGGGAGUACGGUCGCAAGAUUAAAACUCAAAUGAAUUGACGGGGGCCCGCACAAGCGGUGGAGCAUGUGGUUUAAUUCGAUGCAACGCGAAGAACCUUACCUACUCUUGACAUCCAGAGAACUUUCCAGAGAUGGAUUGGUGCCUUCGGGAACUCUGAGACAGGUGCUGCAUGGCUGUCGUCAGCUCGUGUUGUGAAAUGUUGGGUUAAGUCCCGCAACGAGGGCAACCCUA
rnacentral:rRNA from 1 species